UACGUAGGGUGCAAGCGUUGUCCGGAAUUAUUGGGCGUAAAGAGCUCGUAGGCGGUCUGUCGCGUCGGCUGUGAAAACUCGGGGCUCAACCCCGAGCCUGCAGUCGAUACGGGCAGACUAGAGUGCUGUAGGGGAGACUGGAAUUCCUGGUGUAGCGGUGAAAUGCGCAGAUAUCAGGAGGAACACCGGUGGCGAAGGCGGUUCUCUGGGCAUGUCCUGACGCUGAGGAGCGAAAGUGUGGGGAGCGAACAGG
rnacentral:rRNA from 1 species